rnacentral:rRNA from 1 species
AUUGAACGCUGGCGGCAUGCCUUACACAUGCAAGUCGAACGGGCUUUGGGGCUUGCUCCAAGGUUAGUGGCGAACGGGUGAGUAAUAUAUCGGAACGUACCCUAGAGUGGGGGAUAACUAGUCGAAAGGCUGGCUAAUACCGCAUACGAUCUAAGGAUGAAAGUGGGGGACCUUCGGGCCUCAUGCUCAUGGAGCGGCCGAUAUCUGAUUAGCUAGUUGGUGGGGUAAAAGCCUACCAAGGCGACGAUCAGUAGCUGGUCUGAGAGGACGAUCAGCCACACUGGGACUGAGACACGGCCCAGACUCCUACGGGAGGCAGCAGUGGGGAAUUUUGGACAAUGGGCGAAAGCCUGAUCCAGCAAUGCCGCGUGAGCGAAGAAGGCCUUCGGGUUGUAAAGCUCUUUUGUCAGGGAAGAAACGGUGGGGGCUAAUAUCCUCUGCUAAUGACGGUACCCGAAGAAUAAGCACCGGCUAACUACGUGCCAGCCGCCGCGGUAA